UUUCCGGUUGAUCCUGCCGGACCCCACCGCUAUCGGGAUGGGACUAAGCCAUGCGAGUCGUGCGGCCCGGUCAGCGGGCAGCGGCGUACGGCUCAGUAAUACGUGGUCAACCUACUCGGAGCACCGGGAUAACCGCUGGGAAACUGCGGCUAAUACCGGAUAGGCGAGGAGGUUGGAAUUACCUCCUCGUCGAAAGGCUGGGUUGACGAUGCUCAACCCAGCGGCUCCGAAUGGGACCACGGCCGAUCAGGUAGUUGGUGAGGUAACGGCUCACCAAGCCUAAGACCGGUGCGGGCUCUGAGAGGAGGAGCCCGGAGAUGGGCACUGAGACAAGGGCCCAGGUCCUAUGGGGCGCAGCAGGCGCGAAACCUCCGCAAUGGGCGAAAGCCCGACGGGGUCAGUCCGAGUGGUCCCCGCUGAGGGGACCUUUUGCCAGCUGUAAACAGGCUGGAGAAUAAGGGGUGGGCAAGUUUGGUGUCAGCCGCCGCGGUAAUACCAGCACCCCGAGUGGUCGGGACGAUUAUUGGGCCUAAAGCAUCCGUAGCCGGCUCAGUAAGUCCUCCGUUAAAUCCAACGGCUCAACCGUUGGGCUGCGGGGGAUACUGCUGGGCUAGGGGGCGGGAGAGGCGAGGGGUAUUCCCGGGGUAGGGGUAAAAUCCACUGAUCCCGGGAGGACCACCAGUGGCGAAGGCGCCUCGCUAGAACGCACCCGACGGUGAGGGAUGAAAGCUGGGGGAGCGAACCGGAUUAGAUACCCGGGUAGUCCCAGCCGUAAACGAUGUAGGCUCGGUGUUGGGCUGCCUUAGUGGUAGCCCAGUGCCGCAGGGAAGCCGUUAAGCCUACCGCCUGGGGAGUACGGCCGCAAGGCUGAAACUUAAAGGAAUUGGCGGGGGAGCACCACAAGGGGUGAAGCCUGCGGUUUAAUUGGAGUCAACGCCGGA
rnacentral:rRNA from 1 species